rnacentral:rRNA from 1 species
UGGGGAAUAUUGGACAAUGGGGGCAACCCUGAUCCAGCGACGCCGCGUGUGUGAAGAAGGCCUGCGGGUUGUAAAGCACUUUUAGUGGGGAUGAAAAGCUCAGGGCUAAUACCUCUGGGUCUUGACCUAACCUACAGAAAAAGCACCGGCUAACUCUGUGCCAGCAGCCGCGGUAAUACAGAGGGUGCGAGCGUUAAUCGGAAUUACUGGGCGUAAAGCGUGCGUAGACGGUUUCGUAAGUCGGAUGUGAAAUCCCCGGGCUCAACCUGGGAAUUGCAUUCGAAACUGCAAGGCUAGGGUGCGGAAGAGGGAAGCGGAAUUUCCGGUGUAGCGGUGAAAUGCGUAGAUAUCGGAAGGAACAUCAGUGGCGAAGGCGGCGACCUGGACAGGCACUGACACUCAACUACGAAAGCGUGGGGAGCAAACAGGAUUAGAUACCCUGGUAGUCCACGCUGUAAACGAUGGGUACUAGGUUUGGCGGGUCUUGACCCCUGCCGAACCGGCGCUAACGCACUAAGUA